CGUCUCCCGGUCCGCUGCGUUGUGACGUCACACUGUCAGUGGCCACGCCCUCCGUUUUCUCCCCCGGCUCCUCCCUCCGAUGAAGCAGAGACUAGAGCGUAGGCCGGCCCUGGAUGGAACAGGUGUAGUGGGACCAGGUGGGAUGGAUGGCAGACACACCCUCGUUUCAGCCUGUCCCACGGGCCGGCCUGGACGGCUCCAACGCCUCCUUCAGAGCGGGGAGUUCGACCAGCUGCGAGACUUCACCAUCUUUGAAAGCAAUUUCGUGCAGGUGACCCGGUUAGGAGAAGUUGCCAACAAGGUAACCAUGGGGGUGGCAGCCUCCAGUCCAGCCCUGGAGCUCCCAGACCUGCUGCUGCUGGCGGGCCCUGCCAAGGAGAACGGACACCUGCAGCUCUUCGGGAUGAUCCCCUUGCAGUUCGUCCAGCUCUUCGUCCACGACGAAAGCCGCAGGCAGCUCAAGGUCAAGUUUCAAACCGGCCGCACCUUCUACCUGCAGCUGCGGAGUCCGCCCAGGACCGGCGACUGCGAGUUCGGCCAGUGGGUGCGGCUGCUCUACUGCCUGCGCUUCCGCUCGGCCCGGAGUAACCGGGAGGAGGAUGGGGACGAGGAGGAGGAUGGAGAGGAAGAUGAAGAGGAGGAGGACCUCUCUGCAUAGGGGCAUCUGGCGAGGGACUGCCUGGUCCUGAAGGGUGGGGCCAGCCCGGCCCGAUGCCCAGGUCCCCGGGGGCCUGAGGAGGGGAGCGGCGCCUCUCCCUGAAGGUGGGGCCCCUGGAACCUGCGGGGCCCCUUCCUCUGAAGAUACCUGCUCCCCCCCUUCCCACUGCGAGCCCUGGGACCGGGCUGAGCCCUCAGGCCUCCUAACUCCGGGACUCCCAUUCCUCCAGCACCCUUGACGCCCCCAAAGGACCAGAGAUCUAACCUCCCUACGUCGGGCGGACAGAUGGAUUAUAAAGUGAAUCAAGAACCAACAACCAGGCCAUGAGCAGUUUGGCCAUCGUCCCCAAUUCCACGUGGGUGGCCACCCGGCCGAAGCAGCCUUCCCAGCAUGCUCAGCGUGGUCUCCCCCGCAUGUCUUCGCACCACGUCCGGCUCCCUGGGGGCCACCCCUGAGACCUGGCACCCCGUCCCACCACGGCCGCCUCACCAGGGAGCCUUCCCAGCCUGGCCUUGGGCUCCUCCCCGCAGCAGCCGGCCUGCCCGGUCCCCGCUCUCGGGCGCCAGUCUAAGAGGGGGGGUCUUGGGUUCGCCCCUGACGCUCCGUGGUUGCCAUAGCAACGUGGUUGCCCGACUAAAUGGCUAUUCCUGGA